GACGAACGCUGGCGGCGUGCUUAACACAUGCAAGUCGAACGGAAAGGCCCUGCUUUUGUGGGGUGCUCGAGUGGCGAACGGGUGAGUAACACGUGAGUAACCUGCCCUUGACUUUGGGAUAACUUCAGGAAACUGGGGCUAAUACCGGAUAGGAGCUCCUGCUGCAUGGUGGGGGUUGGAAAGCUUCGGCGGGUGGGGAUGGACUCGCGGCUUAUCAGCUUGUUGGUGGGGUAGUGGCUUACCAAGGCUUUGACGGGUAGCCGGCCUGAGAGGGUGACCGGCGACAUUGGGACUGAGAUACGGCCCAGACUCCUACGGGAGGCAGCAGUGGGGAAUAUUGCACAAUGGGCGGAAGCCUGAUGCAGAAACGCCGCGUGCGGGAUGACGGCCUUCGGGUUGUAAACCGCUUUCGCCUGUGACGAAGCGUGAGUGACGGUAAUGGGUAAAGAAGCACCGGCUAACUACGUG
rnacentral:rRNA from 1 species